ensembl:snRNA U6 U6 spliceosomal RNA
GUGCUCGCUUCGGCAGCACACAUACUAAAAUCGGAAUGAUACAGACACGAGCGUGGCCCCUGCGCAAGGAUGACAUGCAAAUUCGUGAAGCGUUCUGUAUUAUU